rnacentral:tRNA from 1 species
GCCCGGGUGGUGGAAUGGUAGACACUGGGGACUUAAAAUCCCUUGCCCGUAAGGGCGUGCGGGUUCGAGUCCCGCCCCGGGCACCA